rnacentral:rRNA from 1 species
UACGUAGGGUGCAAGCGUUAAUCGGAAUUACUGGGCGUAAAGCGUGCGCAGGCGGUUGUUUAAGUCAGAUGUGAAAUCCCCGGGCUCAACCUGGGAAUGGCAUUUGAGACUGGACGGCUAGAGUGUGUCAGAGGGGGGUCGAAUUCCACGUGUAGCAGUGAAAUGCGUAGAGAUGUGGAGGAACACCGAUGGCGAAGGCAGCCCCCUGGGAUAACACUGACGCUCAUGCACGAAAGCGUGGGGAGCAAACAGG